CUGUUGAACUCCCCUGACAGUUCUGACAGUAAACUGCAAUGGCGGAGGACAGAUUCCUUCCUCCCUGAGAGGCAAGAGUGGAUGUCAUCUCACACUGACAGACAUCUACUGAUCCCAGGGCUCAGGCAUUAUCUUGGUGAAGAUCAUAUUUGGAGACCCACCUUCCCACCUUCUUCCUGAACUCUCUCAACAACUCAUCCCUGACCACUGGCUGCGUCUGACUUCAACAUGGCCCCUCAAGACACCAACACUGACCCUUCUGAUUGUCAAAAACGAUCGACCGAUCUAUCUGCCGCCUUCAACACCAUGAACCACCACAUCGUCCUCUCCACCCUCCAGGGUUCGGUACCUUAGGCCCUACACACUCUCGGGUUGCUUCCUGGCAGGCUGCUCCUACCAUGUGACUUGUAGAGAAUAUUUGUCCGCCCUGCUAGUCUUUCAAAGCCAAACGAUACUUCCAAAACCUUGAUUUGAAUGUAGCAACAGCUCCCAGUUCUAAGAUUCUACUGGAUGUUACAUUUCAAGGAAACUC